CAGCCAUGCCGCGUGUGUGAAGAAGGCCUUUUGGUUGUAAAGCACUUUAAGCGAGGAGGAGGCUACUUGGAUUAAUACUCUAGGAUAGUGGACGUUACUCGCAGAAUAAGCACCGGCUAACUCUGUGCCAGCAGCCGCGGUAAUACAGAGGGUGCGAGCGUUAAUCGGAUUUACUGGGCGUAAAGCGUGCGUAGGCGGCUUUUUAAGUCGGAUGUGAAAUCCCUGAGCUUAACUUAGGAAUUGCAUUCGAUACUGGGAAGCUAGAGUAUGGGAGAGGAUGGUAGAAUUCCAGGUGCAGCGGUGAAAUGCGUAGAGAUCUGGAGGAAUACCGAUGGCGAAGGCAGCCAUCUGGCCUAAUACUGACGCUGGGGUACGAAAGCAUGGGGAGCAAACAGGAUUAGAUACCCUGGUAGUCCAUGCCGUAAACGAUGUCUACUAGCCGUUGGGGCCUUUGAGGCUUUAGUGGCGCAGCUAACGCGAUAAGUAGACCGCCUGGGGAGUACGGUCGCAAGACUAAAACUCAAAUGAAUUGACGGA
rnacentral:rRNA from 1 species